GGAUGCCUUAGAAACGGCGAGUGAAGCGGCAAAAGCUCAAAUUUGAAAUCUGGUACCUUCGGUGCCCGAGUUGUAAUUUGGAGAGGGCAACUUUGGGGCCGUUCCUUGUCUAUGUUCCUUGGAACAGGACGUCAUAGAGGGUGAGAAUCCCGUGUGGCGAGGAGUGCGGUUCUUUGUAAAGUGCCUUCGAAGAGUCGAGUUGUUUGGGAAUGCAGCUCUAAGUGGGUGGUAAAUUCCAUCUAAAGCUAAAUAUUGGCGAGAGACCGAUAGCGAACAAGUACAGUGAUGGAAAGAUGAAAAGAACUUUGAAAAGAGAGUGAAAAAGUACGUGAAAUUGUUGAAAGGGAAGGGCAUUUGAUCAGACAUGGUGUUUUGUGCCCUCUGCUCCUUGUGGGUAGGGGAAUCUCGCAUUUCACUGGGCCAGCAUCAGUUUUGGUGGCAGGAUAAAUCCAUAGGAAUGUAGCUUGCCUCGGUAAGUAUUAUAGCCUGUGGGAAUACUGCCAGCUGGGACUGAAGACUGCCACGUAAGUCAAGGAUGCUGGCAUAAUGGUUAUAUGCCGCCCGUCCUGAAACACGGGACCAAAAG
rnacentral:rRNA from 1 species